rnacentral:rRNA from 1 species
ACGCACGCUGGCGGCGUGCUUCACACCUGCAAGUCGAACGGAAAGGCCCUGCUUUUGUGGGGUGCUCGAGUGGCGAAUGGGUGAGUAACACGUGAGUAACCUGCCCUUGACUUUGGGAUAACUUCAGGAAACUGGGGCUAAUACCGGAUAGGAGCUCCUGCUGCAUGGUGGGGGUUGGAAAGUUUCGGCGGUUGGGGAUGGACUCGCGGCUUAUCAGCUUGUUGGUGGGGUAGUGGCUUACCAAGGCUUUGACGGGUAGCCGGCCUGAGAGGGUGACCGGCCACAUUGGGACUGAGAUACGGCCCAGACUCCUACGGGGGGCAGCAGUGGGGAAUAUUGCACAAUGGGCGGAAGCCUGAUGCAGCAACGCCGCGUGCGGGAUGACGGCCUUCGGGUUGUAAACCGCUUUCGCCUGUGACGAAGCGUGAGUGACGGUAAUGGGUAAAGAAGCACCGGCUAACUACGUG